AUGAAACUCAAAGUGUUGAUCUCAUAUCAGCGAGCUGUGGAAUGGAGAGCCCAUCUCUACUACGGCUGCUCUUGCUGACCGUGUCUCUGUGCUGCAGGCCCAACAAAGGUCAGUGCACUUCUCUGGCUGCAGGCCCAAAGUGUUAGGAGAGUCUCUGACUUCCAGCUUUACAAGAGUCAGCCCAGUCAGCCCUCUGUCCUUUGUCCCUCCUCUCCACCCCCACCCAGCCUCCCUGACUCUCAGGCCCAGCACAGCUCAGCUGUUUGUUCGUGAGUCUCUUGAUCUGAGCUGUGAGGAAGACUCUGCUGGAUGGACGGUGAAGAGGAACACGACCACAGAAACCAUGAGAGAGUGUGGAGACACCUGGGGAAAACUAAACGCUUCCUCCUGCAGAAUCAGAUACACACUCCCAUCAGACAGUGGAGUUUACUGGUGUGAGUCCAGAGAGGGAGCAACCAGCAACACCGUCAACAUCACCGUCACUGUUGUGAUCCUGCAGAGUCCUGUCCUUCCUGUGAUGGAGGGAGCUGCUGUGACUCUGAACUGUACAACCUGGA